rnacentral:misc_RNA from 1 species
AACGCACAUUGCGCCUCUUGGUAUUCCAGGAGGCACGCCUGUUCGAGCGCCAUUACACCCCCCAAGCACGGCUUGAUGUUGGGCGACGUCUGUAACAAGACGCGCCUGGAACGUGUUGGCGCCGCCGCCGAACCACGAGCGUAGCAAGACGCAAGUCAUUUCGCUUUGUUGGUUUCGACGGACGGUCUGUCACUCUUUUAUUCUAAAGUUUGGCCUCGGAUCAGGCGGGGAUACCCGCUGAACUUAA